CUAUUGAAAUUAAUUGUUGGUGAUAAUGCAAGAAAGUAUUGACAUGGCUGUACAGGACCAAAAACAUCAGGAUGCGGACACUAUUUUGCUCGACGAAAGCGGAAAUCCUUUACAUGCAAUGUCGUAGUUAGACAUGAAGAAAGACAUGAACUUCUGGGUAGCAUAUUUUCUAACGCCAAACGCGUGAGCCUUUCUAGCGAGGUCUAUAAAGUCAUGCUCACCCUUGGAAAAUUUCUAAAUCCCAUCUAAUCCCAAAAAGGUGAUUACGAUGACUUGGUAUAAGGGUUUGCUUAUAAAA